rnacentral:rRNA from 1 species
UACGGGGGGAGCAAGCGUUGUUCGGAUUUACUGGGCGUAAAGGGCGCGUAGGCGGCCACCGCAAGUCAAUUGUGAAAUCUCCGGGCUUAACUCGGAAAGGUCAACUGAUACUGCGGGGCUAGAGUGCGGAAGGGGCAACUGGAAUUCUCGGUGUAGCGGUGAAAUGCGUAGAUAUCGGGAGGAACACCAAUGGCGAAGGCAGCUCGCUGGGACGGUACUGACGCUGAGACGCGAAAGCGUGGGGAGCAAACAGG